AUAGUCAGUCGGUCUGUCGCUUUUUAGUUUAUAAAGAGAGGAAAGUCCGGACAACACAGAGUACCUUACUAUCUAACGGAUAGCUGUUUGUGAGAGCAGAGUUAAGUAGAAGAAAAUAACCGCCGAUUCGGUAAGGGUGAGAAGGUAAGGUAAGAGCUUACCGGUUCUUAUAGCAAUAUAGGAAGCCGUACAACUUAAGGGUUGCAAGGUCAUGUACACCGGCGCAUGUAGGGCUACUCGUCCGAAGCCGGGGGGUAGACUGCUAGAAUUUAACGGCGACGUUAAAUCCAGAUAAAUGACAGACAUUCCGGUUUAUCCGGAAUACAGAAUCCGGCUUAUAGAUUGACUAUGAAA
rnacentral:RNase_P_RNA from 1 species